UGCUGGCCAUCCAUGACCCCCUGCUGGGCUGCUCCUCACUUACUCCCUUCUGGGGGAAGCCCAGCAGCUGAUUGGGGACAAGGAAGAGACUCCCCAGAGAUGUCCUGGCACCUGGAUUCCAGAGAGUAUUUUGGCAGGGUGCUCCAGCCCCUCAGGCUGGAAGCCAGCAUCACAGAGCCUCAUUCACAUGGCAACUCCGCUCUCCAGCUCUGCUCCCCACAGCAGGAAAAAUGAACCCUUCAGCUCCCAGAGUCCUGAUUCUUUGAGCUCUUUGUGGUCAGCACUGGGGUUUAUGCAGAUCUCACCACACCUGAUCACCUCUGAAUGAUGAAGGGCCUGAAUGUCAGAAUUCUCCUGGAUCCAAAACUCCUGUUCCAGCUCAUGGGGUCUGUGUGCAAUCAGACCCUCCGGAAACCAGCCUGAAAUACCAAGCAAAGACCUCAACCCAAUUACAGCAGAGCAGACAUGUAAUAAGAUGACCUUUCCUUGGGCUGGAGAGUCUGGUGCUAAGCCAAUCUGAUCAGGGAAUUCCCCAUAAAGAGCCAGGCUUAAGGAGAAAUAGAGGCCAGCUGGGGAAAGUGUUAGAGUAGGAGAGAGAUAGGAACCUCAGUGGAAAAACCUCAGACAAAGAGGCCUGGGAGAGACCCUGACUAAAGCAAGGAAAUGACUGGGAGACCCGGAGGGGAACUUGAGAAGAGAGGUAGGAAAUCCCCCAGGGAAAACUGCAGCAAAGGUAAAGGAGCAGACCUAGCUGUGUGGUUCACUGCCUUGGACUGGAAUCCAGAGUUGUGAAUGGAACUGGGUUCCCAUGCUGGUGCCAAAGAAGGGGGUGUAUGAGCCCACAGAACGGGUUACCAGGUCCAACAAGAGUAGCCGAAGAUAGGCUGAAGAAGAGCCCCAGAGAGGGUGGAAGGACUUGCUGUCAAAAGCACAUUUGGAGUCUUAGUUAAUUUGGGAGAAGUGGGACCUUGGAAGGGGUACACUGGAGACUGUGACCUGGCUAGAUGGCUGAAUUAUCAGGCUGAGGAAACCACCACAGUGCCAGAGCCACCGUCAACAGGGCGGCUAGCCCAGCAAGUACUGCCACGCGUACCUGGACAAGAGGGGGCACCUAGUGGCUCUGGGAUCUGUCCCAGCCUCCCACACGGACACAGCUGGCCCAGCUGAGGGAGAAGUGAAGAAGGGUGACUUCUUCCUGUCAAAGCAAGGAGUGUGGGUCUCCGUGAAGCUUAGAUGGAAGAUCACAUACCUCUCAUGAAGUCUGACUAGGGCUCACCAUCCAUUCUGGAGCUGAACACCAGAUGAGACCUGAUUGUCUUUGACUUGCCAUGUCAUCAUGUGGGUGAUGGAGCUGUGUGUCAGAGAGGCCCAGCAGCAGAUGUGGCCAGGAACAGGCUAAACAGCCUCCA